UAGUCCACGCCGUAAACGAUGGAUGCUAGAUGUUUGGAAGAUUACUUCUGGGUGUCAAAGCUAACGCGCUAAGCAUCCCGCCUGGGGAGUACGGUCGCAAGAUUAAAACUCAAAGGAAUUGACGGGGACCCGCACAAGCGGUGGAGCAUGUGGUUUAAUUCGAGGCAACGCGAAGAACCUUACCAACCCUUGACAUAUUAGUUUUAGUUUCCAGAGAUGGAUUCUUUCAGUUCGGCUGGGCUAUUACAGGUGCUGCAUGGCUGUCGUCAGCUCGUGUCGUGAGAUGUUGGGUUAAGUCCCGCAACGAGCGCAACCCCCGCUGUUAUUUGCCAACAGGUUUGGCUGGGAACUAUAGCAGGACUGCCGGUGUUAAACCGGAGGAAGGUGGGGAUGACGUCAAGUCUUCAUGGCCCUUAUGGGUUGGGCUACACACGUGCUACAAUGGGAGUGACAAUGGGCCGCAAAGUCGCGAGACUGAGCCAAUCCUAAAAAGCUUCCCCAGUU
rnacentral:rRNA from 1 species